rnacentral:rRNA from 1 species
AUGACGGUGCAGCAGCCUCCACAUGCCGGAUACAUGAUGGGCCAGCCGCUGUUGCGUGCCAGCCCUCCACCGAUGGCGGCGCUGCAUCUCCCACAGGCCGUGCACAUGGUGGCACAGCCGCCUUUGCCAGCUGGCCCCCCUCCUCUGAGGCGUCGCCGUCCUGACUACUUUGACAUGCCUUUUGGACCGCGGAUGACUGGUUUUGAGCUGGAAAUGGCUGGAUUUGAUGAAUCAAUGGGACUGCCUUAUGGGCCUUACAUAAACAAUGAGAUGCCUUCUGUUGGUUCGUAUCAAACACCCUACAUGUUGAAGGUUUCCCACCCAACUGUACUAGACGGGAGCUUGCACUGCUUCAGCUCCUUGACUCUUGCUUCUCUAGAUAUAUUUCGCCCUUUUACUGGGUUCUGUGCAGUAAGGCUGGUCAACACAGGAUAUAAUAAUCGACAUGUAAUAGCUUAUGCUGACUUUGAAACUCUUGCCCAAGCCUUCUCUGCCAUGAAGUCUCUGCAAGGUUAUUUGUUUGACAUGCAUGACCUAUACUCAGUCAAAUUGGACCUCCAGUUCCUUCCUGUUCCGUCCAAGGAUUCCUUGCGGUUUCGGGCGUGGCUCGCGUUGGCAGGGGAGGGAUGCGCUGAACUGCCCUCCGGGCAUCCUGAUUUCCGGUGGAUGCUUGGAAAUUAUGAAGAUCUUUUUGGUUGUGUUGUGCCGUACCGUGUCCUCAUCGGCGGUGGGUGCAUGUACCCGCCGCCCAUGGAGAUAGAAAAUUGCCAAUUUUGGUUGCUAAUCCCGCAGACAAAGACCGAUUCACACGGCAAUCAUUUUGUACAACUACUCUGGAGCGCAGAUCUGCUGCCUUUUGUAGUUCUGUAUGCUAAUGGGAAACCAUCCGAUGAAGGCCCUUGUGUUUCGCUGAGCAUUUAUUCAUUUCAUAUCCAGCAUCUGCCAGGUUAUUUGUUUGACAUGCAUGACCGAUACCCAGUCAAAUUGGACCUCCAGUUCCUUCCUGGUCCGUCCAAGUCACCUAGCCCACCUGUCAUUCUCUUUUGGCUAAAUUGCCACAAUUGUGUCCAUCACACUUUGGCCAACCAAGUAACCAUAUGCCAUGACUCUCGAUUCAUGUUCCUUUGUGUGCGGGCGCCGCACGGGGUUGGGGUGGUAGGAUUCCUUGCGGUUUCGGACGAGGCUCGCGUUGGCGGGGAGGGAUGCGCGAAACUGCCUGCCGAGCGUCCUGAUUUCCGAUGGAUGCUUGGGAAUUGUGAAGAUCUUUUUGGUUGUGUUGUGCCGUACCGUGUCCUCAUCGGUGGCUGGUGCGUGUACCCGCCGCCCAUGGCAGAUAGUAGGGGAGCUCUCUGUCCGUCCGCGCCGCCGGCGACGAAGGAGGAAACGACGAGGAGUCAUUUUUUUAGAAUGGGGCAUGGGAGGAUUCGAGCGGAGCAGGAAGAUGGCGAGAUGAUGAGCCUUAAUGGUGAUGAUGGCCCCUCUAGGAGACGGAGAGGGAGAUGGCGGCGGCGGCGGCAGGUGCGGCGUGGCAUCAUAUUCGCGGUCAGCGAUGGCGAGAGCGCGCCGCGUAGGAGGAUGGUUGGGAGGCUGAGCGACAGGCAGCGUCGUGGCGCAUGGCCGCACCCGCACCACAGAAAUUGCCAGUUUUGGUUGCUAAUCCCGCAGAUUCACACGGCAAUCAUUUUGUACAACUACUCUGGUCAUGAGUAA